AUACAGAAUACCCUGCCAGGGUUAUUACACCUUACUGUCAUUUAUACAGACCCUGCUGCGGUCCACUGGCAUUAUUUACACUACAACAGAUACCCUGUUGGGGUACCCCAUAUCACACACCCUGCUGGGGUUGUUUUGAUACUUUGAGACAAUAAAUUGCACACUACUACACCCUGCUGGGGUCUGCAUGGUGCAUUGCACACAAUGAAAUGGAUUGUGCUCUCAUCCAGUCUGUUUUAUUUGGCCACGACCCACGCUUGACGGGUACAUACCCCGCGCACCUGAGGUGAUCUCUGACUAGGUAUAAGCCAAUCUAUUCGGCUAAAGAGGGGACAGAGUCGCAAGCUUCAGUGCAGAAUAUCCCCCAUGGCGGUGCAUUAAUUAUUGGAAGAGCUGUAGGACACUCUCUAUCAGGCUUAUGGCCAGCACUGAUGGGUUCAUACCCAAUGCAACCGGGGUGAGUUCCCUACAGCACUGCUGCUUCUACUCCUACCCCUAUCAACAGCGAGCUCGAGGAUUGAAAACCCAAACAUUGGAACCGGGGCCCGGCACUUACAGGUUCAGACCCGGUGCUCUCGGGGUGAGACCCCUUCGAUGGGGGAGUCACAUACCCGACCGAAGGAAGUCUUACGGCAACAGCCUCUACCUACAG